rnacentral:rRNA from 1 species
AUGCUUGUAGAUCAUGAAAAGAAUUCUUUAUGUGAUGGUUAUAUUGUUGAAUUCAUUCAUGAUGCUACUGAAAGUUAUUAUGAGGGAGGAAUAUAUGCUUGUAGGAGUUGCAAUAAUAUCAAGUUUCCUCUCUAUGUGCUUAAAGUUUUGAAGUUAUACUUGUUUUGCCUUCGUAUGCUAGUUGAUUCUUGUUCCUAUAAAUUAUGUGUUCAAAAAAUCCCUAGGCAUAGGAAGUGUCCUAGAUUCAAAUGUGCUAGUCAUAUUCUUCAUGAUGCUCUCUUUAUGUUUCAAUUCUUUUCUUUUAUGUGA